GCGAUGGAGUGAGACUUGGUCUCAAAAAAUAAACAAAUAAAAUAAAAAUGAGGUUUCAGCUAAGAAUCACUAAACAUUUGAGAAAUGCUAAAGAGAAAGAAUUGCCAUGCUGAACAAACUGAAGAUCUUACACUGGAGGACAGAGGAAUGGAACAGGCACUGAAGAUCUUACACUGGAGGACAGAGGAAUGGAACAGGCACUGAAGAUCUUACACUAUAGGACAGAGGAAUGGAACAGGCACUGAAGAUCUUACACUGGAGGACAGAGGAAUGGAACAGGCAAUGAAGAUCUUACACUAGAGGACAGAGGAAUGAACAGGCAAUGAAAAUCUUACACUGGAGGACAGAGGAAUGGAACAGGCACUGAAGAUCUUACACUGGAGGACAGAGGAAUGGAACAGGCACUGAAGAUCUUACACUGGAGGACAGAGGAAUGGAACAGGCACUGAAGAUCUUACACUGGAGGACAGAGGAAUGGAACAGGCACCGAAGAUCUUACACUGGAGGACAGAGGAAUGGAACAGGCACCGAAGAUCUUACACUAGAGGACAGAGGAAUGGAACAGGCACCGAAGAUCUUACACUGGAGGACAGAGGAAUGGAACAGGCACCGAAGAUCUUACACUGGAGGACAGAGGAAUGGAACAGGCACCGAAGAUCUUACACUGGAGGACAGAGGAAUGGAACAGGCACCGAAGAUCUUACACUGGAGGACAGAGGAAUGGAACAGGCAAUGAAGAUCUUACACUGGAGGACAGAGGAAUGGAACAGGCACUGAAGAUCUUACACUGGAGGACAGAGGAAUGGAACAGGCACUGAAGAUCUUACACUGGAGGACAGAGGAAUGGAACAGGCACUGAAGAUCUUACACUGGAGGACAGAGGAAUGGAACAGGCACUGAAGAUCUUACAGUGGAGGACAGAGGAAUGGAACAGGCACUGAAGAGCUUACACUUGAGGACAGAGAAAUGGAACAGGCACUGAAGAUCUUACACUGGAGGACAGAGGAAUGGAACACGCACUGAAGAUCUUACACUGGAGGACAGAGGAAUGGAACAGGCACUGAAGAUUGUACACUGUAGGACAGAGAAAUGGAACAGGCAACCCAGUGCUUUAACAAACACAUAAUUUCUAUUCCGUGGGAGAGACAUGAGAAUAUUAUGCCCAUGAGAAAAGAAUCAGCUAGAUAUGCUGGAAAUUAAAAAGCUGGAUUUUUAAAAUAAAAAUUCAACAGCUGGGCCAAAUAGCACAAUGGAUGCAAGUGAAGAAUAAAUUAAAAUAGGAAGACUGGGUUGAGGAAUUCUUUCAGAAAGCAGUUCAAAAGGACAAAGAGACAGAAAGCAUGAAAGGAAAAUUAAGAGACAUGGCAGCAGAUCUAGAAGAUCCAACGUUCACGUAACAAGAAUUCCACAAGGAAAGAAUGCAGAGACCAAGUUGUAGAGACUACUCAAAGAAAGGAAUAAAGGAGAAUAAUUUCUUAGAGUAUGAGAAACUCAUGAGUGUUUAGAGGAAGAAGACAACUGGGGCUAGGUACAGUGGCUCACGCUUGUAAUCCCAGCACUUUGGGAGGAUGAGGCAGGAGGAUCACUUGAGCCCAGGAGUUGAAGACCAACCUGGGCAACAUAAGAAGAUCCCACCUCUACAGAAAAAUGUUAAAAAUCAGCCAGGCAUGGUGGUAUUUGCCUGUAUUCCUGGCUACUCAGGAGGUGGAGGCAGGAGGAUGGUUUGAGCCCAGGAGUUCCAGGUUGCAGUGAGCUAUGACCACGCCACUGCACUCCAGCCUGGGCAACACAGCAAGACUCCGUCUCAAAAAAACAAAACAAAACACUAAUCUUACUAGCUACAAGGAAAAUGAAAAUUAAAGGAACCGGAUACCGUUUUCAACCAUAAGAUAGAUAAAAAUGAAAAACAACAAUAUCAAGUGUUGCUGAGGGUAAGGGUGCUCUCAUACAGUACAGAUCGUACUACAAGUAUAUAAAGCUUUGCUGGAGGGCAAAUGGGCAGUAGCUACUAAAAUUUUAAAUGUAUACAAACCUAUAACCCAGAAUCUGUCCCAGAGAAAUACUUGCAUAUGUGCAAAAGGGGGCAUAUUUUAAGAAUUAGAAACAACGACCUAGUGCUACCAAAAUGGUGAAAUAAUCUGUGGUAUGUCACGCUAUGGGGUUCUGUGCAUCAAUUCCAGAGAAUGAAGCAGGUUUAUACAUACUGAUGAGAAAAAAAAUAUCUAAAAUACAUGUGGUUGAAAACAAAAAGCAGUUUUUAGAAUAAAGCGUAAGGCAUGAAACCAUUUAGUUAAAACAAAACAAAGCAAAAACAAAGCCAUUAACUGAAACUAUAGAUUUAUAUAAAUACACACACAAAUCCGGAGAGAUAGGAUUAAAACUAUAGAUUUAUGUAAAUACACACACAAAUCCAGAGCGAUAGCCACUGAAACUACAGAUUUAUGUAAAUACACACACACAAAUCCGGAGCGAUAGCCAUUAAACUACAGAUUUACGUAAAUACACACACACAAAUCCGCAGUGAUAGCCAUUAAACUGAUAACAAUUACCACCUCUGAGGACAACAAUGGGAUUCUGAAGUCUAGGUAAAGGGAACUUAGGUUUCACCUGUAUACAUAUUUGACCUUUUUAAACAAUAGAAGAUGUGGAACCAGGUGCAGUGGCUCACGCCUGUAACCCCGAUGCACUGGGAGCCCAAGACCAGCCCUGGGCCACAGAGUGAGACCCUGUCUCUACAAAAAAGUAACAAAGUUAGUUGGGUGAGGUGCUGCGUGCUUGUAGUCCCAGCUGCUUGGGAAACUGUGGUGGGAGGAUCACUUGAGCCCAGGAGUUCCAAGCUGCAGUGAGCAGUAAUUCUGCCACUACACUCCAUCCUGGGUGACAGAGUGAGACCCUGUCUCUAUUUUUUAAAGUCUAUGUGUAUUACUUAUAUAAUUACAAAUAAGGAAACUUAAGGAAAACAAAGAAGCCUGUAGCAUUCGGGCCUUAUUAAGAAGGCAGAGUCAGAAACGUAGCUGCUGCUCAGUAACAACGCCUUCAUUUCUUCUUUGCUGCAAGGAAGGUUAGAAUUUGUCAAUUGUGACGGUCUCUGCCUUCUCAGUGUUCUUCCUGCCCCUCCUUCUAACAGAAAAGGUGGUGCAUCAACUCCUCCUCGUCCUCCCUUGGAAUCCUCAUCCUCCUUCGCUCUGAGAAAUUACUUUCCUUUCCACUGGAUCUGAAUCUGGGAUUAAAACUCAACAGCAAUAAGAAGGAAAGAAUAAGGUUGGGGGGAAAGUCAUCUUUUUAUCGUAUCUAAAGUUUUUGUGGUUCACUGUAUUUUUUUUUUUUUUUGAGUCUCACCCUGUCGCCCAGGCUAGAGUACAAUGGCAGGAUCUCAGCUCACUGCAACCUCCACUUCCCAGGUUCAAGUGACUCCU
rnacentral:lncRNA from 10 species